rnacentral:rRNA from 1 species
UACGGAGGAUGCGAGCGUUAUCCGGAUUUAUUGGGUUUAAAGGGUGCGUAGGCGGCUUUUUAAGUCAGCGGUGAAAUUUUGCAGCUUAACUGUAACAGUGCCGUUGAUACUGGGGAGCUAGGAUUUGGUUGCUGUGGGUGGAAUGUGUGGUGCAGCGGUGAAAUGCUUAGAGAUCACACAGAAUAUCGAUUGCGAAUGCAGCUCACAAAGCCAAGAUUGACGCUGAGGCACGAAAGUGCGGGGAUCAAACA